rnacentral:rRNA from 1 species
GAUGAACGCUGGCGGCGUGCCUAAUACAUACAAGUCGAGCGAACAGAUGAGGAGCUUGCUCCUCUGACGUUAGCGGCGGACGGGUGAGUAACACGUGGAUAACCUACCUAUAAGACUGGGAUAACUUCGGGAAACCGGAGCUAAUACCGGAUAAUAUAUUGAACCGCAUGGCUCAAUAGUGAAAGACGGUUUUGCUGUCACUUAUAGAUGGAUCCGCGCCGCAUUAGCUAGUUGGUAAGGUAACGGCUUACCAAGGCAACGAUGCGUAGCCGACCUGAGAGGGUGAUCGGCCACACUGGAACUGAGACACGGUCCAGACUCCUACGGGAGGCAGCAGUAGGGAAUCUUCCGCAAUGGGCGAAAGCCUGACGGAGCAACGCCGCGUGAGUGAUGAAGGUCUUCGGAUCGUAAAACUCUGUUAUUAGGGAAGAACAAAUGUGUAAGUAACUAUGCACGUCUUGACGGUACCUAAUCAGAAAGCCACGGCUAACUACGUG